rnacentral:rRNA from 1 species
GAGUUUGAUUCUGGCUCAGGACAAACGCUGGCGGCGUGCUUAACACAUGCAAGUCGAACGAUGAAACGGAACGGAAAUUUUCGGAUGGAAGUUCUGUGGAUUAGUGGCGGACGGGUGAGUAAUGCAUGAAGAACCUGCCUUUCACAUAGGAAUAGCCUCGGGAAACCGGGAUUAAUACCAAAUGACACUCCGAGAUCGCAUGUUUUUGGGGUUAAAGAUUUUAUCGGUGAAAGAUGGCUUCAUGUCCCAUUAGCUGGUUGGUGAGGUAACGGCUCACCAAGGCGACGAUGGGUAGCCGGCCUGAGAGGGUGAACGGCCACAUUGGAACUGAGACACGGUCCAAACUCCUACGGGAGGCAGCAGUGGGGAAUAUUGCACAAUGGAGGAAACUCUGAUGCAGCGACGCCGCGUGAGCGAUGAAGGUCUUUGGAUCGUAAAGCUCUGUCCUAAGGGACGAUAAUGACG